AAUUCUAGAGCUAAUACAUGCUAAAAACCCCGACUUCGGAAGGGGUGUAUUUAUUAGAUAAAAAACCAAUGCCCUUCGGGGCUCCUUGGUGAAUCAUGAUAACUUAACGAAUCGCAUGGCCUUGCGCCGGCGAUGGUUCAUUCAAAUUUCUGCCCUAUCAACUUUCGAUGGUAGGAUAGUGGCCUACCAUGGUAUCAACGGGUAACGGGGAAUUAGGGUUCUAUUCCGGAGAGGGAGCCUGAGAAACGGCUACCACAUCCAAGGAAGGCAGCAGGCGCGCAAAUUACCCAAUCCCGACACGGGGAGGUAGUGACAAUAAAUACUGAUACAGGGCUCUUUUGGGUCUUGUAAUUGGAAUGAGUACAAUUUAAAUACCUUAACGAGGAACAAUUGGAGGGCAAGUCUGGUGCCAGCAGCCGCGGUAAUUCCAGCUCCAAUAGCGUAUAUUAAAGUUGUUGCAGUUAAAAAGCUCGUAGUUGAACCUUGGGCCUGGCUGGCCGGUCUGCCUCACCGCAUGUACUGGUUCGGCCGGGCCUUUCCUCCUGGGGAUCCGCAUGCCCUUCACUGGGUGUGUUGGGGAACCAGGACUUUUACUUUGAAAAAAUUAGAGUGUUCAAAGCAGGCCUUUGCUCGAAUACAUUAGCAUGGAAUAAUAGAAUAGGACGUGCGGUCCUAUUUUGUUGGUUUCUAGGACCGCCGUAAUGAUUAAUAGGGAUAGUCGGGGGCAUCAGUAUUCAGUUGUCAGAGGUGAAAUUCUUGGAUUUACUGAAGACUAACUACUGCGAAAGCAUUUGCCAAGGAUGUUUUCAUUAAUCAGUGAACGAAAGUUAGGGGAUCGAAGACGAUCAGAUACCGUCGUAGUCUUAACCGUAAACUAUGCCGACUA
rnacentral:rRNA from 1 species